rnacentral:rRNA from 1 species
UACCCGCAGCACAAGUGGUGGUCAUUAUUAUUGGGCCUAAAGCGUCCGUAGCUGGCGUGUUAGAUGCCUGGGUAAAUCGAUGCGCUCAACGUAUCGAAUUCCGGGUAGACCGGCACGCUCGAGACCGGGAGAGGUAUGGGGUACUCGGAGGGUAGGGGUAAAAUCCUGUAAUCCUCCGGGGACGACCAGUGGCGAAGGCGCCAUACUAGAACGGCUCUGACAGUGAGGGACGAAGCCCUGGGGCGCAAACCGG